rnacentral:rRNA from 1 species
GGGGCGGCGUGGCCUAUACUGCAGUCGAGCGCAUGAAUUAUUUGAUUCUCUUCGGAGUUGACGAUAAUGGAAUGAGCGGCGGACGGGUGAGUAACACGUAGGCAACCUGCCUGUAAGACUGGGAUAACUCGUGGAAACGCGAGCUAAUACCGGAUAACACUUUUCAUCUCCUGAUGAGAAGUUGAAAGGCGGCUUUUGCUGUCACUUACAGAUGGGCCUGCGGCGCAUUAGCUAGUUGGUAAGGUAACGGCUUACCAAGGCGACGAUGCGUAGCCGACCUGAGAGGGUGAUCGGCCACACUGGGACUGAGACACGGCCCAGACUCCUACGGGAGGCAGCAGUAGGGAAUCUUCCGCAAUGGACGAAAGUCUGACGGAGCAACGCCGCGUGAGUGAUGAAGGUUUUCGGAUCGUAAAACUCUGUUGUUAGGGAAGAACAAGUACUAUAGUAACUGAUGGCACCUUGACGGUACCUAACCAGAAAGCCACGGCUAACUACGUGCCAGCAGCCGCGGUAAUACGUAGGUGGCAAGCGUUGUCCGGAAUUAUUGGGCGUAAAGCGCUCGCAGGCGGUUCUUUAAGUCUGAUGUGAAAUCUUACGGCUCAACCGUAAACGUGCAUUGGAAACUGGGGAACUUGAGUGCAGAAGAGGAGAGUGGAAUUCCACGUGUAGCGGUGAAAUGCGUAGAGAUGUGGAGGAACACCAGUGGCGAAGGCGACUCUCUGGUCUGUAACUGACGCUGAGGAGCGAAAGCGUGGGGAGCGAACAGGAUUAGAUACCCUGGUAGUCCACGCCGUAAA